UACAGAGGGUGCAAGCGUUGUUCGGAAUCAUUGGGCGUAAAGCGCACGUAGGCGGCCUGCUAAGUCGGAUGUGAAAGCCCAGGGCUCAACCCUGGAAGUGCAUUCGAAACUGGUGGGCUUGAAUGUCGGAGAGGGCAGUGGAAUUCCGAGUGUAGAGGUGAAAUUCGUAGAUAUUCGGAGGAACACCAGUGGCGAAGGCGACUGCCUGGACGAACAUUGACGCUGAGGUGCGAAAGCGUGGGGAGCAAACAGG
rnacentral:rRNA from 1 species